GCUAACGCAUUUAAGCAUUUCCGCCUGGGGAGUACGACCGCAAGGUUGAAACUCAAAGGAAUUGACGGGGGCCCGCACAAGCGGUGGAGCAUGUGGUUUAAUUCGAAGCAACGCGAAGAACCUUACCAGGUCUUGACAUCUUUUGAUCACCUGAGAGAUCAGGUUUUUCCUUCGGGGGCAAAAUGACAGGUGGUGCAUGGUUGUCGUCAGCUCGUGUCGUGAGAUGUUGGGUUAAGUCCCGCAACGAGCGCAACCCUUAUGACUAGUUGCCAGCAUUUAGUUGGGCACUCUAGUAAGACUGCCGGUGACAAACUNGAGGAAGGUGGGGAUGACGUCAAAUCAUCAUGCCCCUUAUGACCUGGGCUACACACGUGCUACAAUGGAUGGUACAACGAGUUGCGAGACCGCGAGGUCAAGCUAAUCUCUUAAAGCCAUUCUCAGUUCGGACUGUAGGCUGCAACUCGCCUACACGAAGUCGGAAUCGCUAGUAAUCGCGGAUCAGCACGCCGCGGUGAAUACGUUCCCGGGCCUUGUACACACCGCCCGUCACACCAUGAGAGUUUGUAAC
rnacentral:rRNA from 1 species